rnacentral:lncRNA from 1 species
GCGCUGUCCAGCUCCUGAGACUUUGCUGUCCGCCAGUCCGCCGUCUGCUUGCCUCACGCUCCUCAGCCCUGGACCAGGGACAAGUAACCCUCGGUGACAAGACCAAAGUGCACUGCUGUCCACACAGCUCCUACCUUUCUGGCUUCAAUUCUUCAGAAGAGUUUGUCGUCCUUUGGGGAGAACGUGAUUUUUGUUAUCUCAGCCCUCUGACUUCAUUGAUCUCUAAUCUUUUUUAAUUCCUUGGGCCAACUUUGGUCGUGCCCCACCCUGUAGCCAGGAGCCCUUUGGUGAGCUUUGGGCACCAGCAAACCACCCCUUGGAACGGGUGUUUCCUCUGGCUGAGAGUUUGAGAGGAGGCGUGGUCUCCGCAGGCAGCCUGUAGCCUCACAGCCAGGCCUGGUGGUGAGGUCACCAUGUCCACCAAGGUGCCCAUCUAUCUGAAGCGUGGCAGUCGCAAGGGCAAGAAGGAGAAGCUUCGGGACCUGCUGUCCUCGGACAUGAUCAGCCCGCCGCUGGGGGACUUCCGCCACACCAUUCAUAUUGGCAGUGGUGGCGGCAGCGACAUGUUUGGUGACAUCUCCUUCCUGCAGGGCAAGUUCCACCUCCUGCCAGGGACUGUGGUGGAGGGGCCUGAGGAGGAUGGCACCUUCGACCUCCCCUUCCAGUUUACCCGCACCGCAACUGUGUGUGGGCGGGAGCUCCCGGACGGCCCAUCACCUCUGCUUAAGAACGCCAUCUCCCUCCCGGUUAUUGGUGGACCCCAGGGGAAGAGACAGGGCACAGCUGGCCGCAGGGCUCGGCCACUGGGCGAGCUGUUCCGGGCCUUUGGCUUUGCAUCCUGGACAGGGACUGCCCUGUCAGGGACCAGAUGCGUCCUGCCUCAUCCCCAGUUCCAUCCCUUCCCCACGUGACCGGGGAUUCUGGUUGCAAUAAAACAUGCUGCUGCUGGUGGCUGAGCUCCCUGUCCCCUUGCCCCAGGUUUCCUCAUGGAGGUAGACAGUCUCCCAGAGCUGAGGGCUCGCCUCUGGAGACCCCAGCCCCAGAGGGCUUUGUGGAGGACAGGCCUUGCCCUCAGGAAGGUUGUACCUGACGCUGAGCCUGUUGUGAGAAUGCAACAGGAGCAAACCAAGUGUUGCUGUGGAUAUUCCAACAUUGAUUCAGAUGUUUGGGAAGAGGUGGCUGAGCACUCGGAUAGGCUCAGCACUGUGCCAAGCCUGGGGCCAAUCCCUGCCCAGUCAGCUGGGGUCUGGUGGGGGACACCCAAGAAUAAAAGAAUAACCACAAAGUGUGCAAGGGACCAACAGCUUCUCCAGCUUCAGAGCAUCGAGGGAGCAUGCAGGAGGGAUGCUUGGAGCUGGGAGGGUCUCACGGUGCUGCUUCAAGAUUCAUCCCAUCCACAGCUGUUUACUGAGCAUUUCCAGUACACAAGGCAUGGCUCCGGGUGCUGGGGAUACAAGGCAGAUGUCAUCCCUGCUCUCUGGGAGUUUAAAUUCUAGUUGGAAGGGGGAUAUUAAAUUGGUAAACAAAUAAGAGAUGAUUUCCAGCAGUGGUAAAAACUUCGAAGAAAACAACAUGAUCAGGAAUGCCUAGCAGGGAGGGCAGGGGGUAUCAGGACUCAUUAAUGUGAUCAGAUGUGAUUCUGAGCCAAACCAGAGCUACCAGCUAGAAAACUCAUGUGUAAGCACAGGCACUGAGGAACCAGAGUGAAGACAGAGCCGCCACCACACAGCAAAAGAGUGUGGACCUCCAAGUUGCACUUAGCCUGAGACCCAGUUUCCCCAUCUCUAAAAUGGAGCAGGCCAGGCAUGGUGGCUCACAUCUGUAACCCCAGCACUUUGGGAGGCCAAGGUGGGCAGAUCAUGAAGUCAGGAGAUCGAGACCGUCCUGGCCAACAUGGUGAAACCCCGUCUCUACUAAAAAUACAAAAAUUAGCUGGGUGUGGUGGCACGUGCCUAUAAUCCCAGCUACUAGGGAGACUGAGGCAGGAGAAUCACUUGAACCUGGGAGGCGGAGGUUGCGGCAAGCCAACAUUGCACUACUGCACUCCAGCCUGGCAACAGAGUGAGACUCCAUCUCAAAAAAAAAAAAAAAA